rnacentral:rRNA from 1 species
UACAGAGGGUGCAAGCGUUGUCCGGAUUUAUUGGGUUUAAAGGGUGCGUAGGUGGCCUUAUAAGUCAGCGGUGAAAGUCUGCAGCUUAACUGUAGAACUGCCAUUGAUACUGUAAGGCUUGAGUACUGAUGAGGUAGGCGGAAUUGAUAGUGUGGCGGUGAAAUGCAUAGAUAUUAUCAAGAACACCGAUUGCGAAGGCAGCUUACUAAGGAGUUACUGACACUGAGGCACGAAAGCGUGGGGAUCAAACAGG